rnacentral:tRNA from 1 species
GGGCGCUUAGCUCAGUUGGAAGAGCGUCUGGUUUGCAACCAAAAGGGCCCGGGGGGUUCAAAUCCCCAGUGUCCACCA